rnacentral:misc_RNA from 1 species
GUGAAUCAUCAAAUCUUUGAACGCAAAUUGCACUGUCUGGUAUUCCGGAAAGUAUGCCUGUUUGAGGGUCAGUUAAAUAAAAAUCGGUGUUGUGGCUGCCUUUCGUGGUGACGCGUCGGAUUUGAGUUGUCUUACCUUCGGUUAAGCUUCUUAAAAUUUUGGCAUGAAUUUCGAACGUAUUUAAAUCGUUUACGUACGUUUGAGAUAUCGAAGGGUUAUUAUGUUUGGUCAUUCUC